rnacentral:tRNA from 1 species
GCCUUCGUGGUGUAAUGUUCAAGCACACUCGGCUCGUAUUUGAGCGGUCCAUGGUUCGAAUCCCGGCGAGGGCA